rnacentral:rRNA from 1 species
GUGGGGAAUAUUGGACAAUGGGGGCAACCCUGAUCCAGCGACGCCGCGUGUGUGAAGAAGGCCUGCGGGUUGUAAAGCACUUUUAGUGGGGAGGAAAUGCCGAAACCUAAUACGUUUCGGAACUGACUUAACCCAAAGAAAAAGCACCGGCUAACUCUGUGCCAGCAGCCGCGGUAAUACAGAGGGUGCAAGCGUUAAUCGGAAUUACUGGGCGUAAAGCGCACGUAGGCGGUUAUUUAAGUCGGAUGUGAAAUCCCCGGGCUCAACCCGGGAAUUGCAUUCGAAACUGAAUGGCUAGAAUGCGGAAGAGGGAAGCGGAAUUUCCGGUGUAGCGGUGAAAUGCGUAGAUAUCGGAAGGAACAUCAGUGGCGAAAGCGGCUUCCUGGUCCAGCAUUGACGCUCAGGUGCGAAAGCGUGGGGAGCAAACAGGAUUAGAUACCCGUGUAGUCC